rnacentral:lncRNA from 1 species
UUUAUACUGUUAACUUUUUCUGUGGGAACAUCGCUAAUCUUUUUACUAUUAUUUUCAGGUACAUUGAAGAUUCUACAUCCGACAAAGAAUGAAGCCUAUUACUAAGUAGUAGAAAUAUUAUAUAUCUUUUUAAGGAAUAUGUUUUGAUAAAUAGUACGUACUUGUAUUUCUGUUUAAGAAGUAUGUUUUGAUGAAUAUUAUACACUAUGUUUUUUAACGGCAGCUACUACUUUAUUAAGUGUUUGCUUAAAUAGACAUUUUUAGUAGUAUAUCAGUACUUAAGUUGGGUUCAUGCUGUAGAUUCUCUCUUUCCGCUCAAACAAUUCUCUAUGUAAUUUUAUUGGCAUAACAUCUGUUUAACCAUAAAUACAAACUCAUCAUUUCUUUGUAGUUUUACCUCUGUAAUAUAACUGCUGAUUAACUUUCUGAUCCAAAUCGCAGCAAUAAUCACUUGUAUGAUACCAUGAGUUAUAUUAAAAUCUUAACCUUCAGGAUUAAUUGCAAAACAACAUCCAAUACAAACCUAAAUCUGACACAAGUUACACAACAGUCCUUAUUGUUGUCACUUCUCCUAAACACUUUUUUUUUGUCAUUCUUUUGCAGACCACCUUUUAAACCAUAAAUGUAAACCCGCCGUUUGUACAUGUUUUUACUAUUUCAGCUUAAUUUAUUAUCAUCAGUUUUUUCCCAUACCUAAUUAGUGCCCUAAUAUGUAAAUAUAUAUUUAGUAUUAAUUUCUUAUAAAAUAAUUAAUAUAGUUAUAUUUGUUGUGUUAUUUUUUUAAUACCUUGGUCUUUUUCAUGAGAAUAUCAGCCAAAUUUAGCGGCUAUGUAACAUACAUGAUAUCGUUUAUGUUAUGAAUGUGUUUCCUCCUUCCCUUAAUGAACUGCCUCUGUUGCAAAUACCAUUACCGUCCUAGCUACAGCGAAAAAGUUUUAUCUUUCUGUCCUACCUUCUUUUUCUAAAUAUACUCACUACGGAAAUAAAUCUUAAUCGAAAAUAUUAAUGGAUAAUAUUAAAAUUAAAAUUAAUAUUUCUAAUAAUUGGUUGUUGUAUCAACUUCCUGUUGCAACACGCAAGAUUCUGUUUACCUUUAUUUCUAAAUAUACUCACUACGAAAAUAAAUAUUAUUAAAAAAUAUUAAUGAAUAAUAUCUAAAAAUAAUGUUAUCGAUUUUAAUAAUUAACUAUUGUAUUAAUUUCCCGCCGCAACGCGCGGGGUUCCGUAACUAGUAUCUAAAGAAGUUCC